rnacentral:tRNA from 1 species
UUAUUUUUAGUAUAAUUAUUAUAUUAGAUUUUCAUUCUAAAGAUAGAAAAAUAAA